rnacentral:rRNA from 1 species
GAAUUCGCCCUUAGAGUUGAUCCCUGGCUCAGGAUGAACGCUGGCGGCGUGCUUAACACAUGCAAGUCGAACGAGCGAGAGAGAGCUUGCUUUCUCGAGCGAGUGGCGAACGGGUGAGUAACGCGUGAGGAACCUGCCUCAAAGAGGGGGACAACAGUUGGAAACGACUGCUAAUACCGCAUAAGCCCACAGGUCGGCAUCGACCAGAGGGAAAAGGAGCAAUCCGCUUUGAGAUGGCCUCGCGUCCGAUUAGCUAGUUGGUGAGGUAAUGGCCCACCAAGGCGACGAUCGGUAGCCGGACUGAGAGGUUGAACGGCCACAUUGGGACUGAGACACGGCCCAGACUCCUACGGGAGGCAGCAGUGGGGAAUAUUGCACAAUGGGGGAAACCCUGAUGCAGCGACGCCGCGUGGAGGAAGAAGGUCUUCGGAUUGUAAACUCCUGUUGUUGAGGAAGAUAAUGACGGUACUCAACAAGGAAGUGACGGCUAACUACGUGCCAGCAGCCGCGGUAAAACGUAGGUCACAAGCGUCGUCCGGAAUUACUGGGUGUAAAGGGAGCGCAGGCGGGAAGACAAGUUGGAAGUGAAAUCUAUGGGCUCAACCCAUAAACUGCUUUCAAAACUGUUUUUCUUGAGUAGUGCAGAGGUAGGCGGAAUUCCCGGUGUAGCGGUGGAAUGCGUAGAUAUCGGGAGGAACACCAGUGGCGAAGGCGGCCUACUGGGCACCAACUGACGCUGAGGCUCGAAAGUGUGGGUAGCAAACAGGAUUAGAUACCCUGGUAGUCCACACCGUAAACGAUG